CCUACGGGUGGCAGCAGUGGGGAAUAUUGCACAAUGGGGGAAACCCUGAUGCAGCGACGCCGCGUGAGCGAUGAAGUAUUUCGGUAUGUAAAGCUCUAUCAGCAGGGAAGAAAAUGACGGUACCUGACUAAGAAGCCCCGGCUAACUACGUGCCAGCAGCCGCGGUAAUACGUAGGGGGCAAGCGUUAUCCGGAUUUACUGGGUGUAAAGGGAGCGUAGACGGCGAUGCAAGCCAGGUGUGAAAGCCCGGGGCUCAACCCCGGGACUGCAUUUGGAACUGGAUAGCUGGAGUGUCGGAGAGGCAGGCGGAAUGCGUGGUGUAGCGGUGAAAUGCGUAGAUAUUAGGAGGAACACCAGUGGCGAAGGCGGCCUGCUGGACGAUGACUGACGUUGAGGCUCGAAAGCGUGGGGAGCGAACAGGAUUAGAUACCCGAGUAGUC
rnacentral:rRNA from 1 species